AUGGUGGGUGGGCGCAUAUCCUAUCAGAGAGAGAAGGCCGAGCGUUCUCUGGAAAAGCGGAAAGAAAAUGGCGGCCGUGGCUGCGGAGGCUGGAGCUGCUGCGGCAUCAACACCACCACCACCACCAGCGGGGGACAGAGUGGGACCCGAGCCGGAGCUACUGCAACUAGCCGAGGCGGAGCCCAAAAUCGAGACCGAGGCUGCGAAGGAGCUUGUUUCACAAAUGGACCCGGAGCCCAUUCCUGAUCACGGGGAUGUCGCUCCGGAAUGCAGCAGCUUGGUCAGCGCUGAGGCAGAGGGCAGGCCAGAUCCGGACCCGGAGACCGCGGGAAAGUCUUAUAUUAAUCCCAGCGAGCAGCAGGAGAAUGAUACAGUGAUGGUCUUAGGAGGUGAAGUGGAGACUGUGACCCCUCCGGCAGACCACGACCAGGGAAUGGAGCGGACAGCGGAGCGUGAGAGUGAGAUUAGCGGCGGAGAUCCGGAGGUAGCGUCUGAUCCGGUUGCUAGCAACGAGGUCAGUUCUGAUGAUUUUCAAGCUUAUCCCAAACCCAGGGUUAUUUCUGAUCUAGUGGUUGAGGCGAUCUCGAAUCCAGACCCCGCUCCUGCAUUAGGAGAAGCUGAGAUGGAAGCACCUUUGUUGGAGGAACCUUUGGCAACUGAUGAUCACACGGUCCAUACAGAACCAGACGAGACCGAACCCAUUCAAACGGACGGUGAAGCCCAAACUGUGAUCGAGCCAUUGCCAGAGAAUAAACCGAUUCUUGAUGGUGUGGUUACUGAUCUGAAGGAUGAGAGUGCUGUGGGGCAGUCGUUUGCUGAGUCUGGUCCACACUGUUCUUCAAUAGCGAACCAAGACUCGAACAUUAUACCGAUACUGGAAAACGAGAAACUGUUUGGGACCGAUUCAGCUCAAAAUAAAAACAAUGACGUUAACAGUACUGAUAUAGUGCAGCCGCCUGUUUUAUUAUUUGAAGUUAACUCCGUUGCUUCAGAACCAGAGGAACUGGUGGUACCGCAGCAGUUCGAGAUGGAAACCCAACAGGACGAACCAGAAACGAAGCCGAUGGCAGGGGAGGGUUCUAUUGUGGUCCACACAGAGACAAUCGCCGAGCUAAUCCCGGGAUCCGAGGUACGGGUCAUGCUGGAUCACAUAAUCGACGAUGCGCUGGUGGUGUCCUUCCGAUUUGGCGAGAAGAUAUUCUCUGGGGUUCUUAUGGACCUGUCCAGAAGAUUUGGACCAUAUGGAAUUCCAGUGACUGUGUUUCCCAAAAGAGAAUACAGGGAUAAACCAUAUUCUAUGCAGCUAAAGACUGAAGCAUUCCAGGCAGAGACAGACAAGGGACAGUGUGAAGCUACAGGGGAUGCCCCCGAGGACCCCGCCAAGAAUCCACUUGUGCCGACCAACCAAUGGACUUCUAAACCUCCGCCUUUGUUCCAUGAAGGAGCCCCUUACCCUCCGCCUUUGUUUAUCAGGGACACUUACAACCAGUCAAUACCUCAGCCCCCUCCGCGGAAAAUUAAAAGGCCGAAGCGCAAACUGUACCGGGAAGAGCCCACGUCUAUUAUGAACGCCAUUAAACUUCGGCCGCGACAGGUACUGUGUGACAAGUGCAAGAAUGGCAUUGUGCCGGACAAGAAGGAUGUGAGAAAGAGUCACUCCGACUACAGGGGCGAGGAGAGUAAAAAAAGGCGGAACGAGAGCGUGGCGACUGUGAACAAGAGGCUUCGAAGUGAGCUUAAGGUGGAGGAGAAAGGCCGCAGCACAGAAGGAGCGAAACGCCACGCUGCUGUAGUCAAGGUCUCCAGCGUGGCCCCGACCAAAGGUGGCGGCAGCAGGGUAGUCAAAGUGACUGCUGCAGCUUCCCAGGUGAACAGCUCACGGGUGCAGCUCAACACCAAAAAAGUGCUGCAGAGUAAGAAUGUGGAUCACUCCAAGGCACAGGAUGUGCUGAAGAUGGCCAAGGAGAAAGUGCAGAAGCGGCAGCGGGAUAGCGGUGGCGGUGCCAGCACGGCGGCUUCCAAGGGAACCAUUCAGAAAGUCCACUUCACCCGGCGCCUCCAGAACAGCAGCGGCAACGCGGCCCCCCUGCCACCCAGGAUACGCAUCAAGCCCCAAAGGUACCGUAACGAAGAGAACAACUCUUCCUCUUGUAAAGCGGGCUUUGAUAAAGUGCAGGGUUGCUGUAAAGGGGUGCCCACGACUACUCCACCCCAUUGCACCUCGACUCGCUCCUCAGCAGGUGAGGCCACUUCUUCUGAAAACCAGAGCCCCGCUAAAAGCCCCGAACCUGAGCCAGUGUCUGAGCCCAUGCCUGAGCCCCAGCCCGAUCCCCAGCCCAAGCCUGAAGCCAACCCUGAGCCUGAGCCAGGGCCAGAGGUCGAGGCCACAGAUGAGAAUAAAGACCUGGUAGUGGUGUCUGAGGAGCAGGAGCAGGAGGAGAAACGGGAAAAGAGAGGCAGCAAGGGCAAUAUCACAGUUUACAUGACCUUAAAUCAGAAAAAGCCAGACUCGUCUAGUGCUUCGAUGUGCAGUAGCGAUAGCGCAGAUGACCUUAAAUCGUCCAACUCUGAGUGUAGCUCUACUGAGACCUUUGACUUUCCUCCUCCCGGCUCUUUGCACGCACCCUCCACCUCCAGCACCACCACCACCAGCACCACCACCACCACGACAUCCUCCUCCUCCUCCUCCUCCUCCUCCUCCUCCUCCUCUUCGAAGGAAGAGAAAAAGCUCAGUAAUUCCUUGAAAGCAAAAGUCUUUUCCAAAAAUGUCUCUAAGUGCGUGACUCCAGAUGGCAGGACCAUAUGCGUAGGGGACAUUGUGUGGGCCAAAAUAUACGGCUUCCCUUGGUGGCCGGCCCGAAUCCUUGCUAUAACCGUGAGCCGCAAAGAUAAUGGUCUUUUAGUCAGACAGGAGGCCCGGAUCUCCUGGUUCGGUUCCCCAACGACUUCUUUCUUGGCCCUCUCGCAGCUCUCCCCCUUUUUAGAAAGCUUCCAGUUGCGCUUUAACAAGAAGAGAAAGGGCCUGUACCGCAAGGCCAUCACAGAGGCAGCCAAGGCUGCCAAGCAGCUGAGUCCUGAGGUGCGGGCACUGCUGACACAGUUUGAGACGUGAAACAUGGCAGGAAAGGAAGGUAGGCAAGCAAGCUGUGCCUGAGAUCUCCACUAUCCCUGUCCCCUCCAAACACCGCGCCACUGGCAUAGGAAAUUCCAGCCUAGAAUAACUGGAAUUAACUUGGGUGGGUAGAGAUCACACAGCCUCUCUAGUGGCCGUACAUUUUACAAAGGGACAUGCUCUUUCUUGGUUUGUGUUUUCUGUUUUGAAACUUGGUUCCAGUUGGACCACAACUUCUCCUCACCCCCACACUCACGCAUACACAUUUUAAAAGCAGUUCCCAUCUCAAGUGUUGACAUGACUUCAAAGGCCCAUUGAAAGCCAUGAUGCUCUUCAUCACACAAGGCAGGCAGGUAGGGUCUGGUGCCUUGGGGUCAAGUGAAAUCACAUCAGGGAAUUUUUAUUUAAAGGAGUACUUUUGGGGUUGGUAGUCUUUGCUGGGAGCGUAGACGAAGGGGUUUAUACAGAAAGAUGGGGUGGGGGCGAUCUGGAUUAAGCCACGGGGAACUGUGAAAGUGUUGUGUAAUAGACUGAAUGAACAAUGAAGGAGAACAUCCUGCUGUAUUGUUAAGUGAUUUUACUUUGUUUCUGUAUUGUAGAGUAUCACUUAAGAAUGAAUCACUGAAUAAAACUCAGUCUUGAAAGCAUUAAAACACUAUUUAAAUUGGAAACUGAAAUAUUAAAAAAAUGCAAUACAUUAGAUGUGUCCUGAAAAAUCUGUUGCAGUAGAAAUAGGAUGGCUAGAAGCAGAAACAGAUUUAUAGACGGACUUCGAUUUGAUUUUAAUCUGUUAAUCAACAGUCUUCUAUAAAUCCCUGUUGUAACCUUUCAGAUAUAAACGUGUUUGCAGUCCAGCACAGAAACAAGGCACCUGAUGCUAAUAAUAUUAAAGCCUGACUCUGUAGGCCACUCUAAAUUAUGGCAAGUCAUUUUAACAAGUACAAAUUAAAAACAGUCCUGGAGUAGGGGAUUGAAUAUAGAUAGACAGAGUAAUCAGUUUACUGUGAAGUAGAGGCUUCACAUUGUUUUCCAAAAGAUUGGAUACAAAGCUGUUUAUCGUCUUGUGAUUCAAAGCCAGCCCAGUCUCUCCAGAAAGCAGUUUCAAGAACAGCAGCAAAGCCAACGUCCCCUCGAGUGCUUGUGCUGUAAGGGGGCAAGGUGCAGGACAGUGACCCCCUUUUAGUUUAAAACAGCAGCUGGUUGAAAUCUGCACCCUUUCAGUCCUGAAUUGUUGAAAUUUAAGUUAUACAAUUAAAAAAGGAACUCCUUUAUUGAGUAUACAUAAGAACAGGAUGCACAAAUAUUUUUUACAUAUUUAAACACUACUUCAAACUGGGACCUAGGAGUCCCGUGAGGUUCCACCGUGAUUUCUGACGGCAUACGUUAACAUACAGCGCUAAGAUAAGGUGGGACCUUGAGGUCCUGCCAGGACUGAAAGGGUUAAUGCAGUGUCUCAUUUUAAUGCGGACUUUCCUAAUAAAAUGCAAAGGUUAACAUUUUAUUAUUGCAUGUAAUUGUAUGUAGAACACAGAUCCGUUUGUCAUCCAUUCAGCAUCCCAAAAACAAUAAAAAGAAAAGGAAAAAAAGCUGUACGUCUGUAGCAGAUGGAGAAAGCAAAGCAGUCUGUCCAGUCAGGAAGGCGCCAACUCCAGUCCUACCAGCACAGCGACACUAACAAGCUGCUGAUUGGUCCCUGAAGUCCACUACAACUCUGCCACUUUUUGGGAGUCUACAGAGAGAGAGGGUACCCCAUCCCAGGCACAAGAGAAUGAAAACCUUAUUUUACCUGAUGAGAAAAUAUUUUAUAAAUAGAAAAAAAAAAAGAUUUUGCAAUAAGUAUUGCAUGUGUGGAAAUUCUCUAUAUUGUAAAGAUUAGGGACCCACUUUAUAUUGAUAGUGUAGCAUCCCUUUGAGUCUAUAAUGUUUCCAUAUGGAUGUUACCCUUUUUGAGUUUCUUUUAAAACGAGGGCUGUGAUGAGGUUUUGCUUCCUAUAAUAUUUUGAGCGGAGCCUUGAAUGGGUGGAGCUUGAAGCCCUGAUGCUGCUAAAGGUGCUAGACUUCUCAGAAUGAACCGUACUACUGGAGUGUUUGCUACUCGCUGACUCGCGUUGUCACUCGCUCACGCAGCGCUAGAAGCCUCCUCAGUUUAAGCACUAUAAUCCAUGCAGAGCAGCUCCCAUACAGCAUAGUGUAGAGUACAGUAUGAAGUUUCUGUCUGCAAUCUAUCCAAAAUCCAUUUCGGCUGGUUACUACUUGAGGCUAAAACCAAUCUUUUGAGAUAUUGGUUACAGUAUGUUGUUUUUUUUUUUUUUUUGUUAAAAAUAUAAAUUAUCCAACUGAAUCCUUGUGAAUACCUCAUUCGGAAGGCAGGGCUCCGUCUCUUUUAGCUGCCUUUCCGACUGAUAAGUCUAAUACCCGUACCAGCAAAAUCUGUCUAUGCAACUUCUUUUGGAUUCGCGUUACAUGACACGCUUGAUUUUAUUAAUUAUUUGACUGGCUUGAGGCAUUGCAUGCAUUGGAUAUAUCUGCACAGUGUAUUUUUUUAUAGUGCUGACCUUUGUUGUUCUAAAUGUUUGAUGAGCUCAGGUCACAAUUGGCUGAAGUCAGCACUCCCGGAAAAACAGGUGCCGAAAUGUGGGGUGAGUGCUCAUUUCCCUGCUCCACCAGGACCUGGGGCCCUCCAAUGCAUUAGGGCUGAGAAGCACACCCUGAUCUACCGUAAUAAGGGAGAGUGGAGAUAUGAGUAAGUCAAGCACUGCCAAGAGGAACUUGCUUCAUCAAGCAGGAUUCUUUUUCCUUUUUGUAUUUAAAGCUUUUGACAUUUAAAAUCAACUCCAGCUUACUGAAACAUAAUGCAAAUGAACCCACAUUGCAUACUGCUGAUGUAAGCAUUUUGUUUUCUGCCAGUAAGAAAGCUAUUUUUUUUUUUUUUUUAAGGGAAAAAAGGCAAUGCUAGAAUUGUACUCAUGUGUUGACUGUUUCUUUAAUUAAUGGUGAUUUAUGAUGGAUUUUACAGCUAGUAAUAGUUGGCACUGGUUGCAAGGCUUGCAAAUCAAACUCUGAAACAAUCCUAAUGCAUGUAAUGGUGGUGUCCACUGUCUGUGUGAAACUGGAAGGGCUUUCCUUCUAACAUCACAAUCACUGGAGGACAUUACCCUGAAUAAUGAAUUUCCAAGUUAAAGGGAUACUCGUAUGUCAUUUCCAUGUUCCUGAUAUUUUUAUUUCUUACCUGUUGUGUGCUCUGUGGGAUUCUCUUGUUUCUCAUGCUUGCUAAUUAUUCCAGCAAAACUUGCAUCUGAAAAAAGACCUGAUAGCUGAGCAAGUGAGGUGGGAAAGGGUGUUAGCGUUGCACAGGCUGCAUGCGCAGUGCUUCUCCUAUGGGCUUUGCACACCGCGCAACGCUAAUAUGCUUCCCCACCUCACUUCCUUUCAAUCAGUAUUGAGGAAUACUUUCCUAAGCAAUUUUGGCUGGAAUAGUUAGUAAGCAUGGCAAAUGCCGUAAUAAUCUCAGCAGAAACAACUAUAGAUAAUCAUACAGAACACACGUACCAGGAUAUAACAGGUAAUUCAUUAAUAUGUAGAUGACCUAACAUCUCUUUGUCCAGCACUCAGUGUUGUUAAUUCAAAUAGGUAGUGUAACAAAGCCAUAGUACUGUGUCAUAAUGCUCUUUCAUGUUACUUAUCAGACCAGUUUGUAUUUUAUUGUGGUUGACUUUGUUCAAACAAUUAGUGUUCAGUUGCUGUUUUAUGAAUCAGACAUGUUACUUCGUACAGUUAAGAAAGUGUGAAAUACAGAACACCAUUGUGGCUUCCAUGUUUGUUUUCAUGAGUACUAUCAUGGCCAUAACAUGUUUAUUUGCUUUAUUUUAGUUUAUGUAUUUGGUAGAUAUAAUUAAUUUGAUCACAAUCAUGAUACUAGUGGUUUUUUAACUGGGUAAAUUAAUCUGACACACAUUAUUCUGCAGUAUAAACACAGGCUAAAUUAAACUGUACUCUUGUGUUAAGUGGUAGGAUGCAAUUGGUUUAAUUACUUCGUAAUGAUGGUGAGAGUUGGAUUUUAAUCCUAUGUUGCACUGUUUCUUUUACACUUAACAUUUUAUAAAUAUUGUCAGCAUAACUCCUUCAAUGAACUUAGCCAGUGCUUGGUAUGUUUAAGGGUUGACUGAUUGUAUUUUCAUCUGUGAACGUUUUAAUGUGUGCUUAAAUGAUAUCAUAUUGCAUGUGCUCCAUCAGUACAUUAUUGAUUAAUGCUUUUGUCCAGCUUGCUAGAUGCUUCAGCUAUAUGAAUCAAAAUAACCUUGAAAAUGAUUAAGCUGGAUUUUGACUAAUUGUAACCAUUUUGGCUGAGUUUGGACUGAAACAUAGUGUUAAACAAAUGAUUCUGCCAAAGUGCAAUUUUGAGCCCUAUUUUAGGCAGCAGUCUGAACAAAUACGUAUGUGGAGAGACAGGGUGAUGCCAAUCCACGGACUGCAUUAUAACUACCCCACAGUUCAAAAUCACAAAUUACAGGGUUGUUCUGGUGCCAUUGUGAUGAUGGCAAUGCAGUAUCUCUUUUCUGAUUGUUUCAUAAUGCUCUAAAACAUCUUCAUUUUAUGAAAAAAAUGAAUUAAGGAUCACAAGAAUUUUUGUAAUCAAUUAUGGGGACUUUCAUCCGGUCCCCUAAAUCUAAAUGAUACAGAAUUGAAACAUGCUUUUAGUCAAUGUGCUUUAUGAGUUGUGCAAAUGGAAUGAUGUGCUUUAUGAGUUGUGCAAAUGGCAAUUGUGAUAAUGGUUACUCAGGUUUUAAUGCUUCCUUGUUAAUGUAUUGUUAACCUUUUUUUGGAGGGAGGGUGUGUGUAUGAAGAAAGUCUGUGUUUAGACUGGCUGGUGUACAGAAGUCAGAAUUUAUUUGUUUUAUGUCAUUCUAACAUAAAACGUUUUAACCACUUUUUUAUUUUGUAUAACUUUUUUACCAAACAAAUCUGAAGGCCACUCCUUUUAAGACAGUGAACUGCAUUAGACAGUAAACAUACAUGUAAUGUUUAGAGAUUGGAGGUGAAGGGUCUGAGAUCGCACCAACCCCAGGACCAGGCUAUAUGUUUUAAAGUUCAGAGGCAACACUUUGAAGUCUAAGACCCUGUGUGUAACCCAUUCCACUGGUUCCCCUCCAGUGACCAAACAUUCAAUGCUGUAGCACUAAUCACCAAUAAUCUGAUAUAACAUUACACAUAAUACUGGGGCUUGGAUGUUAUUUACAUAGAUAUGGGCUGAACGCCUUUUUACUCUGCAGUAUUUGGCUUAAAAGAAACAGUAUUAAGCCUUUGGUAGCUUUGUAAGUGUUCUUGUAUUUAUUAAAAUUGAACGUGUGGGGAGAAAAUCGUCAGUGGAGGUUCCAAGUAUAAGCUAUUGGAUCCCUGAAGAAACUCAAUAUAGUGUGUGGUAGGCAACUGUGAAUGGAUUCUGUAACCUGUAAAGUAAGUACAACUUUUAACCACGGAAAAUGGUCAGCCAUUUACUGUAAAAGAGAUACUGCAUUUUCUAAUGAGCGAAACGCUUUUAAAAGUAUAGCGUGUCAUAGUGCAAGAGAUUGAGCACAGCUAUGCUGUUGACACACUGAUUUCCUUAUACCGUUUAUCAAGGACUUUGUGUAGGGUAGCUGGAGUAAUUUCAAAACAUUCAGCUACUAUCUUUGCUUUAAAAUAAGAGAAUGCUAUAUUGUUUGCAUCUUCUGUCUCAACCUUUCAUUAGUAUGCAAAAUGGAUGCUAAAUAUAUAAUUGAAAUGAAUUGAGUGGUCACCUAAACAAGUUAGACAUGCCACAACUAUUUUCAUAGUUCUUGUUUGUGAUCCACAGCCCAAUACCUGCUGUGUGUUAACUUGUUUUGGCAACUGUUCAGGCAUUCACUGUUAAAAUAACGCAUCAUUUGUUUUACCAGUACCGUAGCCUUUUUUAUUUAUUUUUUUUGUUCAAUUUCAAGUUGUAAAAUGUAAAAACGUUUGUGUCAGGGAUAUUUUAUAAUGUAGAAUUUACAGUACUGUAUUGCUUUUCACUUUUUUGGGCAUUAGUUGCUUAAUAUUUAAGCUGCGGUUCACUGUUGAGUUUGUGUCUGCAUAUCAAGAUUUCCCCCCCUUUAUAUUCCCCUCCUUAUUUUAUGAAGUUAAAAAAAAGAAAACGAAAAUGAAAACGUGAUUCAGCUUUAAAGUUUGCUUCAAACUGAAUGUUUUAUGAAUGUUGUGUAACAAUUAUUCAAAUAAAAAUGAAUCAUAGAUUGUU